UACAGAGGUGGCAAGCGUUGUUCGGAAUUACUGGGCGUAAAGCGCACGUAGGCGGAUCGAUCAGUCAGGGGUGAAAUCCCAGGGCUCAACCCUGGAACUGCCUUUGAUACUGUCGAUCUGGAGUAUGGAAGAGGUGAGUGGAAUUCCGAGUGUAGAGGUGAAAUUCGUAGAUAUUCGCAAGAACACCAGUGGCGAAGGCGGCUCACUGGCCCGGUACUGACGCUGAGGUGCGAAAGCGUGGGGAGCGAACAGG
rnacentral:rRNA from 1 species